rnacentral:rRNA from 1 species
ACUCCUGCGGGAGGCAGCAGUGGGGAAUAUUGGACAAUGGGCGCAAGCCUGAUCCAGCCAUGCCGCGUGAGUGAUGAAGGCCCUAGGGUUGUAAAGCUCUUUCACCGGUGAAGAUAAUGACGGUAACCGGAGAAGAAGCCCCGGCUAACUUCGUGCCAGCAGCCGCGGUAAUACGAAGGGGGCUAGCGUUGUUCGGAUUUACUGGGCGUAAAGCGCACGUAGGCGGACUAUCAAGUCAGGGGUGAAAUCCCGGGGCUCAACCCCGGAACUGCCUUUGAUACUGGUAGUCUUGAGUUCGAGAGAGGUGAGUGGAAUUCCGAGUGUAGAGGUGAAAUUCGUAGAUAUUCGGAGGAACACCAGUGGCGAAGGCGGCUCACUGGCUCGAUACUGACGCUGAGGUGCGAAAGCGUGGGGAGCAAACAGGAUUAGAAACCCCGGUAGUCCCAUGA